GAUGAACGCUGGCGGCGUGCCUAAUACACGCAAGUCGAGCGAACGGACGAGAAGCUUGCUUCUCUGAUGUUAGCGGCGGACGGGUGAGUAACACGUGGAUAACCUACCUAUAAGACUGGGAUAACUUCGGGAAACCGGAGCUAAUACCGGAUGAUAUUUUGAACCGCAUGGUUCAAAAGUGAAAGACGGUCUUGCUGUCACUUAUAGAUGGAUCCGCGCUGCAUUAGCUAGUUGGUAAGGUAACGGCUUACCAAGGCAACGAUGCAUAGCCGACCUGAGAGGGUGAUCGGCCACACUGGAACUGAGACACGGUCCAGACUCCUACGGGAGGCAGCAGUAGGAAAUCUUCCGCAAUGGGCGAAAGCCUGACGGAGCAACGCCGCGUGAGUGAUGAAGGUCUUCGGAUCGUAAAACUCUGUUAUUAGGGAAGAACAUAUGUGUAAGUAACUGUGCACAUCUUGACGGUACCUAAUCAGAAAGCCACGGCUAACUACGUG
rnacentral:rRNA from 1 species